AAACUUUCAACAACGGAUCUCUUGGUUCUGGCAUCGAUGAAGAACGCAGCGAAAUGCGAUAAGUAAUGUGAAUUGCAGAAUUCAGUGAACCAUCGAAUCUUUGAACGCACAUUGCGCCCGCCAGCAUUCUGGCGGGCAUGCCUGUUCGAGCGUCAUA
rnacentral:rRNA from 1 species